AUUGAACGCUGGUGGCAGGCCUAACACAUGCAAGUCGAACGAGUGGCGGACGGGUGAGUAAUGUCUGGGAAACUGCCUGAUGGAGGGGGAUAACUACUGGAAACGGUAGCUAAUACCGCAUACACUCGGAUGUGCCCAGAUGGGAUUAGCGAGUAGGUGGGGUAACGGCUCACCUAGGCGACGAUCCCUAGCUGGUCUGAGAGGAUGACAGGAAAAACUGGAACUGAGACACGGUCCAGAGUCCUACGGGAGGCAGCAGUGGGGAAUAUUGCACAAUGGGCGCAAGCAUGAGGCAGCAAUGCCGCGUGUAGGAAGAAGGACUUCGGGUUGUAAAGUACUUUCAGCGGGGAGGCGUUACCCGCAGAAGAAGCACCGGCUAACUCCGUGCCAGCCGCCGCGGUAAUUC
rnacentral:rRNA from 1 species